GAUGAACGCUGGCGGCGUGCCUAAUACAUGCAAGUAGAACGCUGAAGCUUGGUGCUUGCACCGAGCGGGUGAGUUGCGAACGGGUGAGUAACGCGUAGGUAACCUGCCUCUUAGCGGGGGAUAACUAUUGGAAACGAUAGCUAAUACCGCAUAAAAGUCGACAUUGCAUGAUGUUGACUUGAGAGGUGCAAUUGCAUCACUAAGAGAUGGACCUGCGUUGUAUUAGCUAGUUGGUGAGGUAACGGCUCACCAAGGCAACGAUACAUAGCCGACCUGAGAGGGUGAUCGGCCACACUGGGACUGAGACACGGCCCAGACUCCUACGGGAGGCAGCAGUAGGGAAUCUUCGGCAAUGGGGGCAACCCUGACCGAGCAACGCCGCGUGAGUGAAGAAGGUUUUCGGAUCGUAAAGCUCUGUUGUAAGAGAAGAACGAGUGUGAGAGUGGAAAGUUCACACUGUGACGGUAACUUACCAGAAAGGGACGGCUAACUACGUGCCAGCAGCCGCGGUAAUACGUAGGUCCCGAGCGUUAUCCGGAUUCAUUGGGCGUAAAGCGCUCGUAGGCGGUCUGUUAGGUCGGGAGUUAAAUCCGGAGGCUCAACCUCCGUCCGCUCCCGAUACCGGCAGACUUGAGUUUGGUAGGGGAAGGUGGAAUUCCUAGUGUAGCGGUGGAAUGCGCAGAUAUUAGGAAGAACACCAGUGGCGAAGGCGGCCUUCUGGGCCAUAACUGACGCUGAGGAGCGAAAGCUAGGGGAGCAAACAGG
rnacentral:rRNA from 1 species